GUGGAACCAGGUGGUUUCUUCUACCACAGACAUGCUUCCUUUUGUUUGUUUCAAGGUCUGACAGGAUUUGUUGAUUCUUUUUUCGUCAAUAGAGCCGUUUAGUUGUGUAAAUGUGCUAAUCAGAAGUGUGAGGAGGUUUUUGUCAUUUUUAGUCAUCUGUGUAGAAUUUUAGGUCCCUCAACUCGCUGGCCGGACUAAUUGGCCCUAUACAUAGUCAGUCUCUGCCAGAGUCAGAUGAGAGAGGAGAGGUGAGCUGUGUUACCAAAUCCAUGUACUUUUGAGUUUUGUUACUUUGGGGGAAGUUUUGUGGAGUUUCACGUAUGAUGGAGUCCACUGUAAAUAAAUUGCUCACCUCUGGAAACCUGAAAUGUCUGCGAGUCUGCUUCCCUACCACCUUCCUUCACGUUUGAGUCUGACUACUUCACAACUCCCCACAUUCACUCUGGUUGGUAGCCAGCGUAGCGACCAUUGACUGUAGAAAACAUGGACGACGCGACUCCGCCUCCUACCAUGGUGCAAAAAUGAAGCCAAAAUAUCCCGCUUGUGGAGGCUGCCAUCUUGCAAAUUUGGAGCCAGAGUCUGCGCAGUAGUGACUUGAGGUGGAGCGACUGUGUAACGCUCCCGCCCACACACCCGCUGGACAUGACCACAAACACGCCCCCCUACACUUUUUACGUAGCCCGGCUGCUCGAGUUUUUUUGCUGGUUUACCGCGACUGAUGACUCCUUUAAUUAAGAGUCCAUAUUAUAUCAACAGCUACAUUCACCCUGGAGAGAAACUAGUGAGGGAGACCAUCAGGACCAAGCUGGGUUUCCUGGGUCCAGAGGUUUGGAGAAACUUCUUCCCUUUCUUUCAUCACAGCUGUCCUGUGCCAGAAGUUCUGUUGACCCGCUGUAAGAGGCAUCAUUUAAGAAACACCAGGAAGACUGAAGCUCAUCGCAUAGAUCAAGCAGGACUCAUGAUCUUCACCAGCAGCUCCCUCACAGGGAAAUCUUCAGCACUCCUCCGUAGGCCCGAUCCAGGAGAUGGAUAAACCCAGCAUUUCAUGAACACUGUGAUGGAGACCUUUGCUUUGUGUAAUGUUAUAAAUACUCGGAUACUCCCCAGAGGCUCCAGACUUUUACAUAAAGAUAUUAUAUUCAGUCCUGUAGAAAGUUAUAUAUUUAAAAAUAUAUGAUCCUCUCUGGUUACUCUGGUAUAACUCUGAAUCACUUAUAGUAAAUAACACAUUAUCUGCAAAAAACUGUGAAAGAAUUCCAGAUGACAAGUUUGUAGUUCAACAUACAAGUGACGACCUUUGACCUUCAUCAGGUUUUAUUUAAUUGUGCCAGAGAAAAUCUCAUAUGCUCUUCAUGCAGCUGAGUACAUCAAGUGUUUAAAACGGAAGCUGUGCAGGUCUGAGAUCAGCAGCUUUGUGAAACACCAAACUGAGGUCCUGUUAAUGCUGAUAUAUAGUGACACAGUUACAUGAGUGAUUAAUCCUUUUGUUUUUUUUGUCUUUAACUUUAUCAAUAAAGCUGCAGCUUUCACUACAGGACAUGUGGUACUUUAACCUUUGUACUGUUUUCAUCAGUUCAUUUUGCAGUUAACAUGUUGGAUGAUCUGUCUGCUGUCACUGGGUGGUGCUGAGGUCUGAAUCUGAGGGCAGCUCCUGUAAUCACAAAGACAACAGAACCAUCAAACUCAGAUAUAAA
ensembl:lncRNA